rnacentral:rRNA from 1 species
CCCUAAAAACCUAAACAACUCCCAA